CGACCGGCGCACGGGUGCUACCGCGGAUGCACCUACCUAUACAUGGGGUAGCCCGGGAACCCGGAUUAUACCCUAUAAAGCAGGGUACUGCAUGGUACUAUUUGCUAAAGUUGAGGCGGUAUAGAUUGGCAUGCGUNAGAUAAGCUAGUUGGUAGGGUACGGUUUACCAAGGCGAGAUCUAUAGGGGUCCUGAGAGGAAGGUCCCCAACACUUGGCACUGAGAUACGGGCCAGACUCCUACGGGAGGCAGCAGUAAGGGAAUAUUGGUCAAUGGGCGAGAGGCCUGAACCAAGCAUGCCGCGUGAGGAAGACGGCUUCUGGGUUGUAAACUGUUUUAUACGGGAAGAAAAAGGUCUUGGGAGGCUAUUUUGCCGGGUACCCGUAUGAAUAAGCACCGGCUAACUCCGGUGCCAGCAAGCCCGGGUAAAUACGGGAGAGGUGCAAGCGUUGGUCCGGGAAUUAUUUGGGUUCAAAGGGGUUGUGUAGGGCGGGAAUUUAAAGUCAGUGGUGAAAGUCUUUGAGCUAAACUUGAAGAAUG
rnacentral:rRNA from 1 species